GGCCGGGUGGCUCGAAUGGUUAGGCGCAGGCCUGCUAAGUCUGAGUACGCCGGUUCGAUUCCGGCCCCGGUCU
rnacentral:tRNA from 1 species